UAGUGGAGAGAACAAACAGACCUCCACUGCCAUAAAUUAUGCAGUCGACUUUCCCACAUUUUGGGACACCAUAGGGUUCAGCACAACUGUAGUACAAUGAAUAAGCCUCCCCCUGGGGAGAACGUCUUCACGAUCAUGGCAUCACUUGUGCUGU
rnacentral:snRNA from 1 species